ensembl:misc_RNA
GAGAUAGAUGAGCGCGGCCGGCCCGGCCUUGUUAACAAGCGUCCUCAUAAAGAUGCAGCUGAUAAG